rnacentral:rRNA from 1 species
GACGAACGCUGGCGGCGCGCUUAACACAUGCAAGUCGAACGGAAAGGCCUGCUUUCCCUUGUGGAUUGCGGGUACUCGAGUGGCGAACGGGUGAGUAACACGUGAGUGAUCUGCCCCCAACUUGGGUAUAAGCCUGGGAAACUGGGUCUAAUUCCCGAUAGGACUGCAGGGUGGUGCCUGUGGUGGAAAACGAUUUUCUAGUGGUUGGGGAUGAGCUCGCGGCCUAUCAGCUUGUUGGUGGGGUAAUGGCCUACCAAGGCGGCGACGGGUAGCCGGCCUGAGAGGGUGGACGGCCACAUUGGGACUGAGAUACGGCCCAGACUCCGACGGGAGGCAGCAGUGGGGAAUAUUGCACAAGGUGCGGAAGCCUGAUGCAGCGACGCCGCGUGGGGGAUGACGGCCUUCGGGUUGUAAACUCCUUUCGACCGCGAGGAAGCCACCUGGUUGGAAGGGUGGUGACGGUAGUGGUAGAAGAAGCACCGGCUAACUACGUG